rnacentral:rRNA from 1 species
UUGUAGUCUGCAACCCGACUACAUGAAGCUGGAAUCGCUAGUAAUCGCGAAUCAGAAUGUCGCGGUGAAUACGUUCCCGGGUCUUGUACACACCGCCCGUCACACCAUGGGAGUCGGAAAUGCCCGAAGUCAGUGACCUAACCGAAAGGGAGGAGCUGCCGAAGGUGGAGCCGGUAACUGGGGCGAAGUCGUAACAAGGUAUC